UUUCCAGUUUCCAGACCCGACGUCAUCUCCCAGCUGAAACGAGGGGAAGAGCCGUGGGUCCCAGAUCUCUGGGGCUCAGAGGAAAGAGAGAUCCUGAGAGGCAGCCGCGUGGGUGAUGGGAUGGUGAGAGAGACCGUGGAACAGAAUCCUCAGCAGGAAGAGGAGCAAGUGGAACCGCAUGAGGCGUUAUUGCAAAGAUGCACAGGGAGUGUGUCCAGGAGUUGUGAGCAGGGAAAAGGAUCUCAGGGGCAGCACAGGCCAGAGAAGCAGCAGGGAAACCAGCCAGUGCAGAAAGUUGGAAUAUCUGUUAACUAUCAGGGAACUCACAAAGGCCUCAAGGAAACCACAGCCCAGCAGAGAAUCGUGACGGAAGAGAGUGAUAAAUACAGUCUUUGAGUGCACGAAAAAGUUCAGGAGGCACUCACACCUUAUUCGCCAUCAGAGAAUCCACACUGGAUUAAGAUCCUAUGGAUGCUGUGAGUGCGGGAAAAAGUUCAGGAGGCGCUCACACUUUAUUACACAUCAGAGGAGCCACACAGGAGAGAAACCCUAUAAAUGCUAUGAGUGCGGGAAAACCUUCGCUCGGAGCUCAGCCCUUAUUCGCCAUCAGAGGAGCCACACAGGAGAGAAACCCUAUGAAUGCUGUGAGUGCAGGAAAACCUUCGCUCAGAGCUCAGCCCUUAUUCGCCAUCAGAGGAGCCACACAGGAGAGAAACCCUAUGAAUGCUGUGAGUGCGGGAAAACCUUCGCUCAGAGCUCAGCCCUUAUUACACAUCAGAGGAGCCACACAGGAGAAAAACCCUAUGAAUGCUGUGAGUGCGGGAAAACCUUUGCUUGGAGCUCAGACUUUAUUACACAUCAGAGAAGCCACACAGCAGAGAAAUCCUAUGAAUCCUGUGAGUGCAGGAAAACCUUUGCUUGGAACUCAGGCCUUAUUACACAUCAGAGGAUCCACACAGGGCAGAAACCUUAUGAAUGCUGUAAGUGUGGGAAAACCUUCUCUCAGAGCUCAGGCCUUAUUACACAUCAGAGGAUCCACACAGGAGAGAGACCCUACGAAUGCUGUGAGUGCGGGAAAACCUUUGCUCAGAGCUCAGGCCUUAUUACACAUCAGAGGAUCCACACAGGGGAGUAACUUUAUGAAUGCUGUGAGUGUGGGAAAACCUUUGCUCAGAGCUCAGGCCUUAUUACACAUCAGAGGAGCCAUACAGGAGAGAGAACCCAAUGAAUGCUGUGAGUGUGGGAAAUUCUUCCAUCACAGCUCUUCUCUUAUUUAUCACCAGAGAAGCUGCAAGGGAGAUAAACACCAUGAAAAUCUUGUCUAGGGCUCAGAAAAGGUUGUUUUUUCCUUUUCCUAAUUCCCAAGUAGUGAACUUUAAGGCAGCACUUGUGGCGUCUCAGCUCCUUCAGGUGAGUUCUCUGCUUUUCCCUUUUGCAGCUCACCCUUCCUUGGAGUGAAGCCCACAGUGUUCUUCAUCAGCUCCUUUGUUCUGUGUCAUGGAAGUGUGCGUCCCUCCAACAAGAAUGCCCAUCAGUCCCAGGUGGGGAAACCAGGAGUGACCUUUACUAGGUACAUGGAGGUUAAAUCUACCUGGGCCUUGACUCCACUAGGCUUUUCCAUGGAGUUAGCUAGAUUGAAUUAGCGAUCCUGAUGUAAAAACACAACUAUGUUUUCAAUAAAGAAAAUAGCCCAUGUAGCGGCCCGGGUAACCUAGCAAAUUUCCUCAGCACUGGACACAACCUCCAUCACUUUUCCUAGUCUAACCAAAUUUGGAGCAUCACGUUUAUACUUUUCUUCCUACUACAAAGUGAUUGUUAGUCUUCAGGUUCCCCCAUUAGGGACAGAUUGUCUCAUUCCCAGUUGUUCCCACAUUGCACUGGGUUCUGCUCAAUAGCAGUUGGGUUUUGUACCAUUUUUCUCAAUGUAAAUAUAACAGAGAAGUUGCAGGGAUAGAGGGUGUGACUAAGUGGGGAUUUUCCCUUAUGUUGUUUGUGAGUCUUACUGUCGAGCCUAUGUGAGUUUUACUGUUUUUCAUGAAUAUUGUGUGUGCUUCAGUUUUCCUGUGUGCUGCACCCAAACCUCAGUGGUGGAAAUAGGGGUGUAUGACUUUGGCUGAGGCGUCUGAGACUGGUGAGGCUGUGUGACGUUGCAGUCCGUAUGCUUUAUGGAAAUAUGCUUAUGUAUAUGACAGAACUGGAAUUUGCUUUAUACUAAAUACCCCUUGUGUGGUGUCAUUAGAAAGCUCGUAAUCUACGAAGUGUUCAUCCUAUUUGUUUGCAUGUAUUAUCUCUAUAUCUGAAGCUAGGAGAAUAAGAUAUAAACUUGUAUCACUGAUGUAAACAUAUUAAGUGGAGGCCAUUAACGGUGCUCCAGAAACAAUCAGUUGUAAAUGGCCUAAGUUACUUGAAAGCCUUCCUGCGUAUGUGUGGGCCAGCCCAUGGGGAAUGGAGAUUAGGGGUCUUACAGUGACAUGUGACUGUCACCUGAAAAUGAAAUCCAUAUUAAACCUGGUACUUUUCCAUUUAGAAGGAGGGGUGGGGAUGCAGAGAGACAAAAGAUUCCUGCCUUGUGCCAAAGCUAUAAAAGGGGGUGGAGCAGGACAAAGGGAGCCAGUCAUGAGAAAUCCCCUGCUUACCACCUGAGAUGUCUGCUGGAACUAACACUACCUGGUGAAAGGAUCGGGCCUGGACUAGAAAGGAGUCUAAUCUGUGAAAGAAGUUUAUUGGAACAUCUCUGAGGGUGAGAUAUUACCUGUAAUCAGUUUCUUAAUGUAUUAGGCUUAGACUUGCGUGUUUUUGCUUUAUUUUGCUGUGUGACUUACUUUGUUCUGUCUGUUAUUACUUGAAACCACUUAAAUCCUGAUUUUUAUACUUAACAUGAUUUUUGUUUAUUAAUAAACCCAGAGUAAGUGAUGAAUACCUGGGGGAGCAAACAGCUGUGCAUAUCUGGGGGAGGGAUAGCUCAGUGGUUUGAGCAUUGGCCUGCCAAACCCAGGGUUGUGAGUUCAGUCCUUAAGGAGGCCAUUUAGGGAUCUGGGGCAAAAAAAUUGGGGGAUUGGUCCUGCUUUGAGCAGUGGGUUGGAUUAUAUGAUCUCCUGAGGUCCCUUCCAACUCUGAUAUUCCAUGAUCUCUCUAUUAGUGUUACAGAGGGUGGACAAUUUAUAAAUUUACUCUGUAUAAGCUUUAUACAGAGUAAAAUGGAUUUAUUUGGGGGUUUGGAUCCCAUUGGGAACUUGGUGUCUGGGUGCUGGAGACAAGUAAGCUACUGAGCUGUUUUCACUUAAAGCCUGCAGCUUUGGGGGCGUGCUUCAGACCCUGGAUCUGUGUUGCAGCAGGCUAGCAUGUCUGGCUCAACAAGACAGGGUUCUGGAAGUCCCAAGCUGGUAGGUAAAACAGGCUCAGAGGUCAUUUCAGCACAUCACGUGACAGUCCCAAGGGGGUCUCUGUGACUGAACCUGUCACACGGUGCCCUUCGUAACCUGAGACCCAGGAAUGGGGUGCGACCAGGUGACUCUUUGCCCAGGAAGCGAGACAAAGACAAAGGAGGAGGAGCAAUGGGGGUGUCUGAGUUCGGGUUGCUGGAAGCUGGCAGUCUGCUUGGGGGAACUGGAAGAGAGGGAGUCCAGGGCAUCUGGCCCACGACUCCCCAAGAUGGACUUGAUCGAAAGUCACUGAUUUCUGUGCUAACAAGUUCUGUUGUACGCCAUGCUCCUGUUGAAUAAUAAACCUUCUUUUUAAUGGCUGGCUGAGAGUCGCUGGGGGGCAGGGCCCUCUGGCUUCCCCAGGAGCCCCAUCCGGGCGGACUCGCUGCGGGAAGCACACAUUGUGGAAGGGGAUGCUGAAUACUUCAAGGUCAGAUCCAGGAAGGUCGAAGUUGUGUCAGCUUCUUGCCCUGGUGACAAUGGGCUGAGAGAGAGGAGACAUGCUCCCCCAGAGUCCUGACUGGCUUCAUAUGGAGUAGUUCCAGAGCAUCUCCUGGUGACUCUGUGACUUGGGGGGAGGGGGGAAGAGUGUGUGUUUUCAACCUCUGUGUCACCUGAAGUGGUGAGUCGAGGGAUUCCCACCUGCCGAAUUACCCCAGCAGUAUUUCCUCUUUUUGAGCCAUGUAGAAUUGAUCUUCUCCACUUUCUACAGUUCCACUGCUCAAUGUGUCCUAUGAUUCAGAGUUCUCAGCCCUUUGUUUGUGGAUCACAGUUUGUUUUCUUUGCUCCUAAAACAGUAAUUUAGGGUCUGAGAUGAAAGUAUCACAGACCUGGAUAGGGAAUUUGAAUGGUUCUGAAAUACAGUGAGAUCAUUUGGAGUCUAAAUCCCAGUUUCCAACUGUUGGCAAAGUCUGUUGUAGGGCUUUUCCUGCUGAGAUGGGCUUGUUUGCAGAUGGGGAGGCUGGCUGGUUUGUUUGUUUUUUGGUUUUUUCCAUUACGACAAUACUAGAACUUUUGUAAAUAAUAUGACUCAAAACUAAUGAGUGAAGGAGGUUUGAAUGGCUCAGAGGAGAAUGCAAUGGGAGAACCUCUUGUCCUGAUUCUGAGUCGUGUAGCCAGUAGGACUAACCUGCUUGCUUGCAUAGAUAUAUUUUUUUCGUAUAUGUUUAAGUAUUUGGUUUAUUGUAAUAGGUUUAGAGAUUUAUAUUAAAGUAAGCUUGGCUGUAACACAAGAGACCUAAAGGCCAUAUCCUGUAUGUUAAGCUAAGGAAAGUUAACACAUCUAUAUUAAGACCAUUUACCCAGAAAAAUAAAGUUAACCUAUAUCUUGUUACCUAAAUAAAUAAGUAUUCACACA